CCUGACCUCCACUCUCCAACUCUGUGCACUAUAAGAAAAUAGGAAAAGUAGUUUUUAUUAACUACUGGCCCUUGCUUCUAUCUCAAUUUAAACACUAGUCAAAGAAUGUAACAAAACCAUAACAAAAAAAAACUUUCAACAACGGAUCUCUUGGCUCUCGCAUCGAUGAAGAACGCAGCGAAAUGUGAUAAGUAAUGUGAAUUGCAGAAUUCAGUGAAUCAUCGAAUCUUUGAACGCACCUUGCGCUCUCUGGUAUUCCGGAGAGCAUGCCUGUUUGAGUGUCAUGAACUCUUCAACCCACCGGUUCCUAGUGAAUCGAGUUGGUGUUUGGAUUUUGAGCGUUGCAGACUUUUAUUAGUCUGCUCGUUCGUAAUACAUUAGCAUCUCAAUUUCGAACCUCGGAUUGACUCAGCGUAAUAGACUAUUCGCUGAGGACACUUUAGCAAUAAGGUGGCCGAAUUGUAGAUAAGAGUGGAAGCUUCCAACCCUUCUAGUCAAAUUUUUAGAUUAGACCUCAGAUCAGGCAGGAUUACCCGCUGAACUUAAGCAUAUCAAUAAGCGGAGGAAAAGAAACUAACAAGGAUUCCCCUAGUAACGGCGAGUGAAGCGGGAAGAGCUCAAAUUUGUAAUCUGGCACCUUUGGUGUCCGAGUUGUAAUCUCGAGAAGUGUUUUCCGCG
rnacentral:rRNA from 1 species